UACGUAGGGACCAAGCGUUGUUCGGAUUUACUGGGCGUAAAGGGCGCGUAGGCGGCGUUGUAAGUCAGUUGUGAAAUCUCUGAGCUUAACUCAGAACGGCCAAGUGAUACUGCUGUGCUCGAGUGUGGAAGGGGCAAUCGGAAUUCUUGGUGUAGCGGUGAAAUGCGUAGAUAUCAAGAGGAACACCUGAGGUGAAGACGGGUUGCUGGGCCAACACUGACGCUGAGGCGCGAAAGCCAGGGGAGCAAACGGG
rnacentral:rRNA from 1 species